AAGUCGAGGGGAAACGAUAUUGGAAGCUUGCUUCCGAUAGGCGUCGACCGGCGCACGGGUGAGUAACGCGUAUCCAACCUGCCCAUCACUUGGGGAUAACCUUGCGAAAGUAAGACUAAUACCCAAUGAUAUCUCUAGAAGACAUCUGAAAGGGAUUAAAGAUUUAUCGGUGAUGGAUGGGGAUGCGUCUGAUUAGCUUGCUGGCGGGGUAACGGCCCACCAAGGCGACGAUCAGUAGGGGUUCUGAGAGGAAGGUCCCCCACAUUGGAACUGAGACACGGUCCAAACUCCUACGGGAGGCAGCAGUGAGGAAUAUUGGUCAAUGGACGAGAGUCUGAACCAGCCAAGUAGCGUGCAGGAUGACGGCCCUAUGGGUUGUAAACUGCUUUUAUAAGGGAAUAAAGUGAGUCUCGUGAGACUUUUUGCAUGUACCUUAUGAAUAAGGACCGGCUAAUUCCGUGCCAGCAGCCGCGGUAAUACGGAAGGUCCGGGCGUUAUCCGGAUUUAUUGGGUUUAAAGGGAGCGUAGGCCGGAGAUUAAGCGUGUUGUGAAAUGUAGACGCUCAACGUCUGCACUGCAGCGCGAACUGGUUUCCUUGAGUACGCACAAAGUGGGCGGAAUUCGUGGUGUAGCGGUGAAAUGCUUAGAUAUCACGAAGAACUCCGAUUGCGAAGGCAGCUCACUGGAGCGCAACUGACGCUGAAGCUCGAAAGUGCGGGUAUCGAACAGGAUUAGAUACCCUGGUAGUCCGCACGGUAAACGAUGGAUGCCCGCUGUUGGUCUGAAUAGGUCAGCGGCCAAGCGAAAGCAUUAAGCAUCCCACCUGGGGAGUACGCCGGCAACGGUGCAACUCAAAUGAAUUGACGG
rnacentral:rRNA from 1 species